AGCAGCCGCGGUAAUUCCAGCUCCAAUAGCGUAUAUUAAAGUUGUUGCAGUUAAAAAGCUCGUAGUUGAAUUUCGAGACCGGUUUACUGGUCGUGCUUUUGUACGUACUGGUAUAAUCGGUUUCUCUUUUCUGACGAACUAUAAUGCCAUUAAUUUGGUGUUAUAGGGAAUCAGGACUGUUACUUUGAAAAAAUUAGAGUGUUUAAAGCAGGCUCACGCUUGAAUACAUUAGCAUGGAAUAACGAAAUAGGACGUUUGAUUUUAUUUUGUUGGUUUCUAGGAUCGACGUAAUGAUUAAUAGGGAUAGUUGGGGGCAUUAGUAUUCAAUUGUCAGAGGUGAAAUUCUUGGAUUUAUUGAAGACUAACUACUGCGAAAGCAUUUGCCAAGGAUGUUUUCAUUAAUCAAGAACGAAAGUUAGGGGAUCGAAGACGAUCAGAUACCGUCGUAGUCUUAACCAUAAACUAUGCCGACUAGGGAUCGGAUGAUGUUAAUAUUAAUGACUCAUUCGGCACCUUACG
rnacentral:rRNA from 1 species